UACAGAGGAUGCAAGCGUUAUCCGGAAUGAUUGGGCGUAAAGCGUCUGUAGGUGGCUUUUUAAGUCCGCCGUCAAAUCUCAGGGCUCAACCCUGGACAGGCAGUGGAAACUACCAAGCUGGAGUACGGUAGGGGCAGAGGGAAUUUCCGGUGGAGCGGUGAAAUGCGUAGAGAUCGGAAAGAACACCAGUGGCGAAGGCGGCGACCUGGGUCCAGACUGACACUGAGGUGCGAAAGCAUGGGGAGCAAACAGG
rnacentral:rRNA from 1 species